rnacentral:rRNA from 1 species
CCUACGGGUGGCAGCAGUGAGGAAUAUUGGUCAAUGGACGAAAGUCUGAACCAGCCAAGUAGCGUGAAGGAUGACUGCCCUAUGGGUUGUAAACUUCUUUUAUAAAGGAAUAAAACGAGGCACGUGUGCCUGUUUGCAUGUACUUCAUGAAUAAGGAACGGGUAAAUCCGGGCCAGGCGGCGCGGUAAUACGGAGGGACCGAGCGGUAGCCGGAAUUAUUGGGGUUAAAGGGAGCGGAGAUGGGUGGUUAAGUCAGGUGUUAAAGUUUGCGGCUCAAACGUAAAAUUGCAAUUGAUACUGGCAUUCUUGAGUACAGUUGAGGUAGGCGGAAUUCGUGGUGUAGCGGUGAAAUGCUUAGAUAUCACGAAGAACCCCGAUUGCGAAGGCAGCUUACUAAACUGUGACUGACAUUGAUGCUCGAAAGUGUGGGUAUCAAACAGGAUUAGAUACCCUUGUAGUC